rnacentral:rRNA from 3 species
GACAGUGUCUGGUGGGUAGUUUGACUGGGGCGGUCUCCUCCUAAAGAGUAACGGAGGAGCACGAAGGUUGGCUAAUCCUGGUCGGACAUCAGGAGGUUAGUGCAAUGGCAUAAGCCAGCUUGACUGCGAGCGUGACGGCGCGAGCAGGUGCGAAAGCAGGUCAUAGUGAUCCGGUGGUUCUGAAUGGAAGGGCCAUCGCUCAACGGAUAAAAGGUACUCCGGGGAUAACAGGCUGAUACCGCCCAAGAGUUCAUAUCGACGGCGGUGUUUGGCACCUCGAUGUCGGCUCAUCACAUCCUGGGGCUGAAGUAGGUCCCAAGGGUAUGGCUGUUCGCCAUUUAAAGUGGUACGCGAGCUGGGUUUAGAACGUCGUGAGACAGUUCGGUCCCUAUCUGCCGUGGGCGCUGGAGAACUGAGGGGGGCUGCUCCUAGUACGAGAGGACCGGAGUGGACGCAUCACUGGUGUUCGGGUUGUCAUGCCAAUGGCACUGCCCGGUAGCUAAAUGCGGAAGAGAUAAGUGCUGAAAGCAUCUAAGCACGAAACUUGCCCCGAGAUGAGUUCUCCCUGAGACUUUAGGUCUCCUGAAGGAACGUUGAAGACGACGACGUUGAUAGGCCGGGUGUGUAAGCGCAGCGAUGCGUUGAGCUAACCGGUACUAAUGAACCGUGAGGCUUAACCUUACAACGCCGAAG